rnacentral:rRNA from 1 species
CGUAGGGACCAAGCGUUGUUCGGAUUUACUGGGCGUAAAGGGCGCGUAGGCGGCGCGGUAAGUCACUUGUGAAAUCUCCGAGCUUAACUCGGAACGGCCAAGUGAUACUGCAGUGCUAGAGUGCAGAAAGGGCAAUCGGAAUUCUUGGUGUAGCGGUGAAAUGCGUAGAUAUCAAGAGGAACACCUGAGGCGAAGGCGGGUUGCUAGGCUGACACUGACGCUGAUGCGCGAAAGCCAGGGGAGCAAACGGGAUUAGAUACCCCGGUAGUCCUGGCCCUAAACGAUGAAUACUUGGUGUCUGGAGUUUUAAUGCUCCGGGUGCCGUCGCUAACGUUUUUAGUAUUCCGCCUGGGGAGUACGCUCGCAAGAGUG